rnacentral:rRNA from 1 species
GAUGAACGCUGGCGGCGUGCCUAAUACAUGCAAGUAGAACGCUGAAGGAGGAGCUUGCUCUUCUGGAUGAGUCGCGAACGGGUGAGUAACCCGUAGGUAACCUUCCUUGUAGCGGGGGAUAACUAUUGGAAACGCUAGCUAAUACCGCAUGACAACAGUUAUUGCAUGAUAUCUGUUUAAAAGGGGCAACUGCUCCACUACCAGAUGGACCUGCGUUGUAUUAUCUAGUUGGUGAGGCAACGGCUCAACAAGGCGACGAUACAUAGCCGACCUGAGAGGGGGAACGGCCACAAUGGGACUGGGACACGGCCCAGGAUCCUACGGGGGGCAGCAGUAGGGGAUCUUCGGGAAUGGACGGAAGUCUGACCGAGCAACGCCGGGGGGGGGGAGGAGGUUUUCGGGUCGGAAAGCUCUGUUGUAAGGGAAGAAAGAGUGUGGGAGUGGAAAGUUCACGCUGUGACGGUACCUUACCAGAAAGGGACGGCUAACUACGUG